rnacentral:rRNA from 1 species
AACAAACCUGGCGGCGUGGAUAAGACAUGCAAGUCGAACGGGAACUUUCGCUGUAGCAAUACAGUGAAAGUUUUAGUGGCGAACGGGUGCGUAACACGUGGGCAAUCUGCCUUGAAGUGGGGGAUAGCUCGGCGAAAGCCGAAUUAAUACCGCAUGUNGUCAGUGAAGACAUCUUCACGACACUGAAGCCGGGGCAACCUGGCGCUUCUUGAUGAGCCCGCGGCCUAUCAGCUAGUUGGUGAGGUAAAGGCUCACCAAGGCUAUGACGGGUAGCUGGUCUGAGAGGACGACCAGCCACACUGGAACUGAGACACGGUCCAGACACCUACGGGUGGCAGCAGUCGAAAAUUUUUCUCAAUG